UCAAGGAAGAAGAUCUGACGGUACUUGAGGAAUAAGCCACGGCUAAUUCCGUGCCAGCAGCCGCGGUAAUACGGGAGUGGCAAGCGUUAUCCGGAAUUAUUGGGCGUAAAGCGUCCGCAGGCGGCCUCGUAAGUCUGUCGUUAAAGCGUGGAGCUUAACUCCAUUUCAGCGAUGGAAACUGUGAGGCUAGAGUGUGGUAGGGGCAGAGGGAAUUCCCGGUGUAGCGGUGAAAUGCGUAGAUAUCGG
rnacentral:rRNA from 1 species